UUCAUGGGAGGAUUUUUCAUGGGAAAUGUCAAGAUAAAGAUAAAGGGAAAAGGAAGAAAAACAAACAAACCAGAGUUAGGUGACUAUCCGGAUCGAGGACUAUCAUUCUACUUGGGGUUAGAAGCAAAUGAAAGAAGAAGGAUUUGCUCUUGACAGGAUCUUGUUCUUCAGACUAAGCCCCCAGAUCUGGAGCACUAGAAAAACAAUUUCACCCUGGACACUGUCAGUGGGAAACGUAACUUACAAAUUAACAAGAAAAGAGUUGCAGUGCUGCUCCUUCCUCUGUGAUGCCCCUGCUAAGAGGGUUUCACAGGACUGCUGAAACCUCCAGAAUUUCAUGUUUCCCUCAGCAGUCUACAAUAACCCUUAGUCUGAAUGACAUGUAUUAUUUCCUCAGCAAACAUGUGAUGUGGG